rnacentral:rRNA from 1 species
UACGGAGGGGGCUAGCGUUGUUCGGAAUUACUGGGCGUAAAGGGCGCGUAGGCGGCCUGUUAAGUCGAACGUGAAAUCCCCGGGCUCAACCCGGGAACUGCGUCCGAUACUGGCAGGCUUGAAUCCGGGAGAGGGAUGCGGAAUUCCAGGUGUAGCGGUGAAAUGCGUAGAUAUCUGGAGGAACACCGGUGGCGAAGGCGGCAUCCUGGACCGGUAUUGACGCUGAGGCGCGAAAGCCAGGGGAGCAAACGGG